CCUGGAAAUGAAGGAGUAUUUCAGACAUUUCAGAAAUCUCAAUGACACAUGGCAAUGAAAACUUCAAUUAUUUAUUUUAAAAUGUGUUUUUUUGAUUACAGUAAUUUUUUUUCACUUAGAUUGUACAAAGCACUCUUGAAAAAUAAAGCAAGAGACUGAACCUCUGCUGUGUAGGCUUGUAGAUGCAGAGUAUAAAAUUCAUUUAAGUGCAACACCUGAGGAGUUUUUAAACUACCAAAGCACCCAAGUCUUCCUUCUCCCUUUAACACUGAGAAUAUCUAUUAUUAACAAAAUAGUUUACCACUUACUGCAGCACAAACUCUUUAUUAACAUCACCAUUUUUUUAAACUCAGGCUGUUAAAACUUUCUUUUCUUGAUCUAUACUGCGUAGAUGGUUGUGGGGUGUCCUUUUCAGCAGCUGACAUAUUUUUCUCAUUUAUCACAGAUAACACGAUACCAUACAGCUAUUAGUGAGUCUAAGUUAUGCUGUGCUGAGCUUCUUGACUGAUCACGUACUGUUAUCUCCUCUAGCAUACCCAGAUCAAUGAAAAAAUCUCAUCAUGACUUUCUUUUUCUUCUGUAUAGCACUGGAGAAAACGCCCACUGGUUCUCCAUAUGAAGUAAGAAUAUAUAACUCAUUGUUUCUGUGUUCAACAUGAUAAAUGACCCCCUUUGUUCGGGCUUGUACAAGAACAGGUAACUUAAAAGGAUGUCUGCAGUCAAUCAGCCAAACUUCUGAGGUUGUCUUGCUGUUGCUAUUGAUAGUGAGGAAACGUCUAUCUUUUGUGCGGUAUAUGUCCACAAAAAAUCUGUAAGAAAUAUUUUUUAAAAAGCUUAAACCUUAAUAUUCAGAAAACACAAUCAAUUCAGAAUCAUGGGCUUCCAAUUACAAUGUAAGAAACAGUGAGCUUGUAAGUAGGCUGGAGAGAUUUCAGACUAUGUGGUUUCCAAACCCACUUUUGCUGCAUUUAUCCCAGCAUUCAAAAACCCCCAGUUCUGUGUAUGGAACCUGAACUCUGCAAGGAAAGCAGUUCAGUUGUUGUCCACAUGAAUCCAGAUCUUUGAAUCAUGCAGAUUGGAAGGUCUUAGAUGUACAUGGGCUUUAAAAUUCAUGCAAAACAUAGAUUUUUUUUUUUUUUGAGAUAAUAGCUCUAUUAAAAAAAAAUCUAAAGGAUAACUGAAGUUAAUAAAAUUAAUAAGAGUAACAUGCGGAAACUGCAAUUAAAAAGUAGAAGCUAUUAUACUACAAGGGUAAAUAAUUAAAAAGCCCAAGUGCUACUGAUGUAAGAAAAAAAAAAAAAGCUUAAAGGAAAAAAAAAAAGCACAGACGCCUUUAUAAGACAGGAUGGACAGCGUUGAAGUAACAGCUGAAAAAUGGGAACUGUUUCUGGAACUCCAUUGAUUUUUAAAUGCUUCUAAAAUCUAGGAACAGAAAACAUUCAGCAGUGUCUGGAUGCUAAUACUGAACAAGUUCAGGCUGCAAGUCAGAUUUAAGUUUCUAAAUGAGUCAUGCUAAUUAAUUGAUAUGUCAAAUCUUGGGGCAUAGGAGUUUCUUUGCCAUUUUGAAUCUUUGAAACUAGAUGUCUUUAAAAGAAAUUGCAGGGUUGAGUAAUGUAUUCUGCACUGACAGCAAUAAUGAACCUUCUAGACUUGAAAAUAUUUGACUGGUGAAAGAAAGGAAGCCUUGGAUAGCAUUUUUCACUGCCUUUAAUUAUUUGCAGGUGUAGGAAUUUCAGUUUCUUUGGUACAAUUGUUUUGUCUAAUUGCACCAUCUUGACAUUAUUAGAACUCCCACUGUCUGUGUCCUCCUAAGGUCUGCAGGGAAUCAGCUUUCUGCCUCUAAUCCACUCAAAUUCAGCAAGAGUGUGACAUUGCAUUCAGUACAGAUUCUAACAGUUUGGCUCUGUUGACCUUACCUCUAAGAGAGUCAAGCUGAAAUGCAGGUUACACUUCUCCCCAAGGACUCUGACCUUCAUAUCACUUUUUUUUCCUUGUAGCUUUGGUGGUUUUUUUUUUUGUUUUUUUUUUUUGUUUUGUUUGUUUGUUUUUUUAAGGAAGUUAAGAUAUCUUCAGCUUCUAAAAAAAUAUUUGACUGCAAGUAAAAGAGCUGGUGAUAUGUAGAACAACUUCUCUAUGGCAAUGCAAAAGAAUGUCUUGCCAUCUCCUAUGGACAACUGAGUUCAGUCAUUAGCUGCGUUAGCACAUGAACCUGUAGAGUAAGUUUCAAGUAGAUUAACUGUAAUGACUACAACCUUCAGAAUUAUGCCAACAGUUUCCCUGUGGGAACGUGUCAGGUCAGUGCAGUUUGAUUUUUACGAAAGUAUGUAUCAACUACAGCUAGAACAUACAGAUCUUAUUUACUCCUUCUCAUCUGCAGACUUUAACUUUUUCAUUUUCUAGAUGAAUGUAUAAAGGCUGUUUCUUUACUGAGUAUGUAACUUGAAGUAAGAAUAAUCACAAAUAUUUAUGGUAUGCUGUACAAAUCUGUCAUUUUAGUGCUACAUAGUUUAAAAACUAAUUCUGCACUCAAUUCAGCAAGAGCCUUCUUGUCUUCCUAAACCGCUGCUUAAAGAAAGGUUAUUGAGAGGGUAUUCAGUCAACAAUAGUUCUAUCUCUGCGAAUGCUGUAAUGAUUUUGCUCAUCCAUUACCCAGAGCAAGGAUUAGCCUGAACUUCAAUGCUUUUAAAAAAAAGUUGUAUCAGACAUCAAUAGCAGAGAAAACAAAAUGAAACCCACAGUCUGGUUUACUCUGUAUGAAACUGUCACAUGUUCAUUAAAGGACACCCUGACCUGAGACUGACCUUGACAUUUAUAAACUCAGCUGAACUCGUGAGGUAACAGAGAAGAGUUAAAUCGUUGCUGAUCACAUAUCAAGAGGAGAGGAGAAUACAUUCUCAGACAGCAAAACAGAACUUAAAAAUGCCUUCUACUUUUUGAAAUGUGAUAUGGAAGAAUUUGUUUCCAAACCAGUUAGAGUCUGCAUAUUGAAUACUACAGAAUGUGUUAAGGAUUCUAUAUUUUGGAUGAAUAUUACCUUGCAUCUUGUUCUGUAUAAACUAACUUAGUAUAUUUCUCAUUAGUGAAAGUGGUCAUGAACACAUUCUGGCAUUUAAGGUUCUUCUGACUUGUGUAAUACAGAACAUCAUUUGUAGCCCAUUCUAGAAAGAAAAGAAAUACAUAUCAAACUUGGAACAGUAUAUAUACUAUUACUGAGAGAAAAUGGAGCUCCAUGAACAUUCAACACGAUGCUGAAAAGCAUGAGUUGCAAAUGACAUGGAACUGAGGAUAACACUUCUACAUCCCAGCAGCUGGGGAAAUCCACAAAAAGAUUUUUCUAAGUUUUCUUUAAAUGCCACAGAUGAAGGAUUUCAUAAUUUAUCUGGGGGAAAAAUUAAAAUAAGUUCCAGGGCCCAGGAAGAGGAAGCUUGUGACCCUAUAGGGGCUUCUGGAGACAAACAAGAAAAUAGGAGAUAUGUGGAUGCUUAAAAGUGCAUAUAGAAACUGAUGUUUGCAUAGUCAGCAAGACAGUGAAUAUGAUCUAAGGUCUGUGCUACUGCAUGCAAACCAUUGAAAGAAAUAAGACUGAUUAUGUAUAUGGUCGGUGGGUAGUCCUGAUAUAAAAAUUCUCCAGUUUUCUGUACUUGCAUAUGUAUUCACAUUAGAAACAUAUAAAGAUAUCUCACUAUUCUGAAAUUCACUAAUCUGACUGAUUCAACCAAAUUAUUUCCAUUUAUGCCAUCAGUAUAAUAAUGUUUAGUAUAUACCUUUUAAGAACCUAUGCUCUCUUAUGCAUAAAUAGUAUAGAAAUGUGGCUCUAAGUUGUACACAUAGCUGAGUUUUCAUGCUGAAGACAAGCCUUUACAGGAGAAAUUGCAGUUCUUCUAGCCUAGCAUUUAAAAAAAAUAAUGUAGAUUUUCAAGGACUUUCAUUUGUCUCCUUAUUGCAAUAUACUUUACAAGUGAUUGUAUAACCUAAUUCUCUUUCUCAUGAUUGGGGACCACUAGGUACAUCACUUACGUCUGGGUAAAUUUAUGAAAUGGGUAAUGGCCAUUUUUUAUACUCUGUCUGCCAUAAUCCGUCACACCUAUACAGGCAACAGUGAGAUGACUUCUGAAAUGUAUGGAAUCUUCCAGGAAAACCUAGAAGUUUGAUUAAGGUAAAGC